rnacentral:rRNA from 1 species
UACGAAGGGGGCUAGCGUUGCCCGGAAUCACUGGGCGUAAAGGGUGCGUAGGCGGGUUUUUAAGUCAGGGGUGAAAUCCUGGAGCUCAACUCCAGAACUGCCUUUGAUACUGAAGAUCUUGAGUCCGGGAGAGGUGAGUGGAACUGCGAGUGUAGAGGUGAAAUUCGUAGAUAUUCGCAAGAACACCAGUGGCGAAGGCGGCUCACUGGCCCGGUACUGACGCUGAGGCACGAAAGCGUGGGGAGCAAACAGG